rnacentral:rRNA from 1 species
AACGAACGCUGGCGGCAUGCCUAACACAUGCAAGUCGAACGAGAUCUUCGGGUCUAGUGGCGCACGGGUGCGUAACGCGUGGGAAUCUGCCCUUUGGUUCGGAAUAACAGUUGGAAACGGCUGCUAAUACCGGAUGAUGACGAAAGUCCAAAGAUUUAUCGCCAGAGGAUGAGCCCGCGUAGGAUUAGCUAGUUGGUGUGGGAAAGGCGCACCAAGGCGACGAUCCUUAGCUGGUCUGAGAGGAUGAUCAGCCACACUGGGACUGAGACACGGACCAGACUCCUACGGGAGGCAGCAGUGGGGAAUACUGAACAAUGGGCGAAAGCUUGAUCCAGCAAUGCCGCGUGAGUGAUGAAGGCCUUAGGGUUGUAAAGCUCUUUUACCCGGGAUGAUAAUGACAGUACCGGGAGAAUAAGCUCCGGCUAACUCCGUGCCAGCAGCCGCAGUAA